rnacentral:rRNA from 1 species
CCUACGGGUGGCAGCAGUGAGGAAUAUUGGUCAAUGGGCGUGAGCCUGAACCAGCCAAGUAGCGUGAAGGAUGACUGCCCUACGGGUUGUAAACUUCUUUUAUGAAGGAAUAAAGUGAGGCACGUGUGCCUUUUUGUAUGUACUUUAUGAAUAAGGAUCGGCUAAUUCCGUGCCAGCAGCCGCGGUAAUACGGAGGAUCCGAGCGUUAUCCGGAUUUAUUGGGUUUAAAGGGAGCGUAGUUGGGUUGUUAAGUCAGUUGUGAAAGUUUGCGGCUCAACCGUAAAAUUGCAAUUGAUACUGGCAGUCUUGAGUACAGUGGAGGUAGGCGGAAUUCGUGGUGUAGCGGUGAAAUGCUUAGAUAUCACGAAGAACUCCGAUUGCGAAGGCAGCCUACUAAACUGCCACUGACAUUGAUGCUCGAAGGUGUGGGUAUCAAACAGGAGUAGAUACCCCAGUAGUC